UAUUUAUUAGUUUAAUUAAAACAUUACAUUUUCAUUGUAAAAAUAAAAAAUUUUUUUAUAAAUAU
rnacentral:tRNA from 1 species